rnacentral:piRNA from 1 species
GGGUAAAUUCUAAGGCAGUGGCCAG